AUGAAUGCUGGCGGCGUGUCUAAGGCAUGCAAGUCGAACGGAUGUAUUUUUGUAGCAAUACUUGAGUACAUUAGUGGCAAACGGGAGCGUAACACAUUGGUAACUUUCCCUGAACUCGUGAAUAACUGUUGGAAACGACAGCUAAUACGCGAUAUUGAUGAGGGGGCUUAUGCCAUUCUCAUUGAAAGAAUUUCGGUUCAGGAGAGGCCUAUGGCCCAUCAGCUAGUUGGCAGUGUAAAAGACUACCAAGGCUAUGACGGGUACCAGGCGCGAGAGCGCGACCUGGCUCAUUGGAACUGAGACACUGUCCAAACACCUACGGGUGGCUGCAGUCGAGAAUAUUCCGCAAUGCACGAAAGUGUGACGGAGCGACGCCGCGUGUCGGAAGAAGGCCUUCGGGUCGUAAACGACUUUUAUCAGGGACGAAUUUUGACGGUACCUGAAGAAUAAGGGGUUGCUAACUCUGU
rnacentral:rRNA from 1 species